rnacentral:rRNA from 1 species
UACGUAGGGGGCUAGCGUUGUCCGGAUUUAUUGGGCGUAAAGAGCUCGUAGGCGGUCUGUCGCGUCUGGUGUGGAAAUCCAGGGCUUAACCCUGGACCUGCAUCGGGUACGGGCAGACUAGAGUGCGGUAGGGGAGAUCGGAAUCCUGGUGUAGCGGUGAAAUGCGCAGAUAUCAGGAGAACACCCGUGGCGAAGGCGGCUCUGCGG